UCGCCCAUUAAAGCGGUACGCGAGCUGGGUUCAGAACGUCGUGAGACAGUUCGGUCCCUAUCUGUCGUGGGCGUAGGAAAUUUGAGAGGAGCUGUCCUUAGUACGAGAGGACCGGGAUGGACGUACCGCUGGUGUACCAGUUGUUCCGCCAGGAGCACCGCUGGGUAGCUAUGUACGGAAGGGAUAAGCGCUGAAAGCAUCUAAGCGUGAAGCCCCCCUCAAGAUGAGAUUUCCCAGUAUGUAAGACCCCUUGAAGACGACGAGGUAGAUAGGUUGGGGGUGGAAGUGCAGUAAUGCAUGGAGCUGACCAAUACUAAUCGGUCGAGGGCUUAUCCUAA
rnacentral:rRNA from 1 species